ensembl:lncRNA
GAUAGAAUUAUAAACUAGUCACGUACAACAUUUCACGUGGUAGAUGUGACAGAUGCUUCGUUUGAGAUAAAUUAUUAGGUUUUUUUUUAAAUGCUUGGCCAUUUAUCUCUUCUUUUUAUAGCUAAAUAAUUCUUUGCAGCAGCAGACACUGUGUGGUCUACUCAGGAGUUAACUUAGACACUUUUGAACAUCCUGCUGGAUACCCUUGUUCAAAUGAUUGUAAUCGGCCAAAAGGAUAGAGACCCUGCAGCCCCCAGUCCCCAUUAGGGGAAUUCAUUCCCGUCUCAGUAGCACAGGUAAACACACAAGCGUGAUUUCGUGUGCUGUUUACGUAGAACUACUUUCUCCCGUUGGGACGUGAUGGAUAGAGAUGUUUUGUGGUGACAAGGUGCACUCGAGGUGCCUCCAACGUAUCAAAAUGACUCUGUUUGGCUGGUAAAUGUCCGUGCACUGUGGAUAAGAAGCUAAGGAAAUGAAUGAUGAAGAGAUUGCCAGCAGAGAGAAGACGGGAGGACAGAUAGACAGGAGUUUCCGCUGAGCUGGGCAAGCGGCAAAAGCAGGGAAAACAUCUGCAGCCUUUGUUCCACUUCUGAAAGUGUGUGCCUCCUGAUAGUUCCUCAAGUCAUUUUCAGACUCUUGAAAUCAUGUCUACGAAAACCAGUUUGCUUUAAAACAUGAGGCAGGAAAUGGAGUCGGUGACUGGAGAAACAUAAACAAGACCACAGACCUGGUCAUAGGUUGGCAGUCGUUAAAUCGGUGGCUCGGUCGAAGAGCAUCUCCUAUUUUAUCCUUUCGUGCAAGUUUGACCAUGGUGAAAAGUUUACACUAAUAUGAACGGAUCCUGUUCUCUUCAUGUAAGGUUCUAACUGAUGGGCUUUUCUGUCAGAAAGGAGAAGUGGUCGUAUGGACAGUGGAGCACAUGCACCUUUGUCAAAGAAAUGUCUUGAAGGAGACCAGAGCUCCAGCACAAUGUGCGGCACCCUGGGCUGGGACCAGGGACAUGAACUCAUAACCUCUGGGGAACCGUCCAAGGGGUGAAGACCUGUGAGGAAUAUGGUUGCCAGACAGCAAACUGUGACAGGAGCUGUUCUCAGUCCCCAGCUUUCAUCCUCAGCGUUUCCCCCAGGAUUUGGAUGUCACCAUUUCUUUUCAGGUUCACAGUUACACACACACAUGUCUUCCACUCCGCUGGGAUCUCACUGUGUCAUCAGCCACUCCCUCUCUCUCAUGCUCAGCCUUUCUGACCACCAGCUCCUGUCCUCAGAGCUUUCACUGCAGAUUUUCCAAAGUCCCAUCUCCCUCAAGAUGACUCAAAUCCUUCUCGAUCCCUUCUU